AUUGAACGCUGGCGGCAUGCCUUACACAUGCAAGUCGAACGGCAGCACGGGAGCAAUCCUGGUGGCGAGUGGCGAACGGGUGAGUAAUAUAUCGGAACGUGCCCAGUAGUGGGGGAUAGCCUGGCGAAAGCCGGAUUAAUACAGCAUACGACCUAAGGGUGAAAGCGGGGGACCGUAAGGCCGCGCGACAGUGGAGCGGCCGAUAUCAGGUUAGGUAGGUGGUAGGGUAAAAGCCUACCAAGCCAUCGAUCUGUAGCUGGUCUGAGCGGACGACCAGCCACACUGGAACUGAGACACGGUCCAGACUCCUACGGGAGGCAGCAGUGGGGAAUUUUGGACAAUGGGGGCAACCCUGAUCCAGCAAUGCCGCGUGAGUGAAGAAGGCCUUCGGGUUGUAAAGCUCUUUUAGUGGGAAAGAAAAGCUCAAAGCUAAUAACUGUGAGCCUUGACGUUACCCACAGAAAAAGCACUGGCUAACUCUGUGCCAGCAGCCGCGGUAA
rnacentral:rRNA from 1 species